rnacentral:lncRNA from 1 species
UGAGACUAAUAAACCCACGAGCUGACAGGUCCAAACAGGCCUCAGAGAGGAUUUGAGAGCCAGGGCCCAGGCCACAGUGUGGAUCACAGCUCCAUGCCUGGGCCGGGCCUCCUUUAUUAUUCCGGAGGCGUCAGGCAUGGGGAUGGAGGACUCUGGUCUGUGCUGGAGACUUGAGAAAGACUUCAAGCAGAAGGGACUCUGAGCUGAAGACAAGAGGGAGGAAGAGAAACAGGCUCUGCAGAGCGAAUUUAGGCCAAGAAAAAGUAGGAAAGAAGGUGUCCUCUACAGCGUGAGGGGGAUUACUGUGAGAGGGACAGCACCAAAGAGCCCUCAAGGUCCACGGCCCUUUUCCAUCUGCCGCCUCAGCUGAGUCAGGUCCAGCUGCCCUAUGGAAAACCUGCUUGAGUUCUCGCGAGAAGUCCGCUCUCA